rnacentral:rRNA from 6 species
CAACGCGACCCCAGGUCAGGCGGGGCUACCCGCUGAGUUUAAGCAUAUCAAUAAGCGG